CCGCAUAAAAUCUAUGAUGACAUAAUACUAUUUUCCAGGAAAAACGAAAAUUGUACAAGUUUCACCUGUUCCAUAAUGUGUGGAUAUCCUAUUUCAUCAUGAAUGACUCUAUCAACAUGUAUUUUCUAAAAUGCUCAGACAGUUGGACUUUGAUUUGAGAGGCAGGCAAAAAUUUUGAUUUAUAUUUUUUAUAAACAUAUUAUAGAACCGGUUCUGUUGGGCGAUGUGCUUUUACGAGAUCGGCGCCCAUCAAAUUUAUCAAAAAUUAUAAGUUUUACUCCCUGCCGAGGUCUGCUUU
rnacentral:lncRNA from 1 species